GGUGAACGGCGUAGUAAUACGUAGGAACGUACCCUCGGGUCGAGGAUAGCUAUGGGAAACUGUAGGUAAUACUCGAUAACCUCUGCGGAGCAAAGGUGUGAUUCCGCCCGAGGAGCGGCUUACGCGAUAUUAGCUAGUUGGUAGGGUAAUGGCCUACCAAGGCGAUGAUGUCUAGGGGGUGUGAGAGCAUGGCCCCCACGACCGGAACUGAGAUACUGUCCGGACACCUACGGGUGGCUGCAGUCGAGAAUCUUCCGCAAUGGACGAAAGUCUGACGGAGCGACGCCGCGUGCGGGAUGAAGGCCCUUGGGUUGUAAACCGCUGUCAGAGGGGAUGAAAUCUUCGGAGGUACUCCUCCGAAGUUGACAGAGCCUCAAAGGAAGCACGGGCUAAGUACGUGCCAGCAGCCGCGGUAACACGUACUGUGCGAACGUUAUUCGGAAUCACUGGGCUUAAAGGGUGCGUAGGCGGCGAUUCAAGUCAGAUGUGAAUGCCUGAGCUCAACUGAGGCAUUGCGUUUG
rnacentral:rRNA from 1 species